CUUUUCUUUUCCUUUUUCCUUCUUUUCUCUAUCAGUCCAGAACAUUCCCAUCUCUCUUUCUUUCCCAUCUCUCUUUCUUUUCUUUUUUUUCUUUUGCCUCUUAGCACUUCGGUCCAGAGCUGCUCUGCUUCUUCUUCUUUUUUUCAUUUUUUUUCCUCUUAGCAGUUCGGUCCAGAACACAGCUCUGCUUCUUCUUCUUCUUUUUCUUUUUUUUUUUUUUCCUCUUAGCAGUUCGGUCCAGAACACAGCUCUGCUUCUUCUUCUUCUUCUUUUUUUUUUUUUUUUCCUCUUAGCAGUUCGGUCCAGAACACAGCUUUGCUUCUUCUUCUUUUUUUUUUCUUUUUUCUUUUCCUCUUAGCACUUCAAAUCGGAACACAUCGGAACCAUCGCCAGAACUCAUCCUUUAUUCUUUUUUUUUCACACUCCAGAGAAGAAGAUGAUGAUGAUGAUGAUGAUGAUGAUGAAGAUGAAGAUGAUUGAAACAUAAGGAUUUUGGGAUUUUGGUUUUUUUUUUCUAUGGAUUUUGGGUUGAUUUUGAGUUGGGUUUGGGAUGAGUUUUCCGGAUUUGAGUUGAUUUUCAGUUGUUUUUGUGUUGAUUUUGAGUUAUUUUUGGUUUGGUUUUGUUCAUUCUGUGUUCGGAAUAUCAAAGGUUGAAAUGGGUUUUGUUGAUUGUGGGGGUAGAUCGGUGAAGAAGCAGAGGAAGACGAAGAGGAAGAAGACGAAGAAAAAAGACACAGAUGAGAGAUGAGGGCGUGAGAGAAUUGAUGGGUAUUUCGGUCUUUUUGGUUAUUGCAACGGUGCUGACAUAGGUGCUAAGGAUCUUGAGCCCAUAGUUAUUGAAGUAGUUGUGGAACCUGCUCUCAAUGUCCAGGUUGUUGAAUCUCAGGCAGGGAUCCCCUAGACUAUCCAAAGGGUUGAAAGGGUCGCAACAUUGGUGUGGGAAUGCUGUAAGCCCUGGGCCCGAGGAAGAAAGCCGCCUGAGGAAGGGAAGAAAUGGAUCAAGGUACUCUGUAGUAUUCUAAGAGGGAGCUAGAGUCUGGAGAGAAUGGAAGUUAGUGGACAGUAAGGAAGCUUCUGGUUUGGUGUAGCUUGUUGCAUUCGCAUUAAAUGGUAGACAACAGCUUUAUCAGCUGCAUUUAUGAGAAAGUGACCUGAACAGUGUAAGCCACAACUAAGCAGAUUCCUUCCACCAUCUUCUUCAGAUGUUAAAAGCAACAAGUGUCAAAAAAGGAGAGAGGUUAGGUGAGAAUGGAUGGUGGAGAUAUGUUGGAGGGAGAAGUAUAUAAGGAAAGGAGAGAGCACUGAAAAAGGUAUCGAGAAAAAAAAGAAAAAAGAAGAAGGAAGAACAUUGAGAGAAGAGAAUGAACAAUAUUACUUUUUAUGCAAACUUAGUUUCCUCGGGAGAACUUGUGGAGAGCUUGAUACUCAUUUAUUUCUUAAUACAAAUCUUAUUUUUCCCUA